rnacentral:rRNA from 1 species
AGGCCGGUCUACGAUGUCGAUUUGGAGGUUGUGCCCUUGAGGCGUGGCUUCCGAAGCUAACGCGUUAAAUCGACCGCCUGGGGAGUACGGCCGCAAGGUUAAAACUCAAAUGAAUUGACGGGGGCCCGCACAAGCGGUGGAGCAUGUGGUUUAAUUCGAUGCAACGCGAAGAACCUUACCUACUCUUGACAUCCAGCGAAUCCUGUAGAGAUACGGGAGUGCCUUCGGGAACGCUGAGACAGGUGCUGCAUGGCUGUCGUCAGCUCGUGUUGUGAAAUGUUGGGUUAAGUCCCGCAACGAGCGCAACCCUUAUCCUUUGUUGCCAGCGGUUCGGCCGGGAACUCAAAGGAGACUGCCAGUGAUAAACUGGAGGAAGGUGGGGAUGACGUCAAGUCAUCAUGGCCCUUACGAGUAGGGCUACACACGUGCUACAAUGGCGUAUACAAAGAGAAGCGAACUCGCGAGAGCAAGCGGACCUCAUAAAGUACGUCGUAGUCCGGAUUGGAGUCUGCAACUCGACUCCAUGAAGUCGGAAUCGCUAGUAAUCGUGGAUCAGAAUGCCACGGUGAAUACGUUCCCGGGCCUUGUACACACCGCCCGUCACACCAUGGGAGUGGGUUGCAAAAGAAGUAGGUAGCUU